GGAGGGAACCUGCUGAGAUGGUGACGGGAGUAAAGGGUCAAGAAGAACUGGCCUCCCUGAUCUCUCUCCUCAUGGCAGUGACCCAUCGCCAGCCCCCUGGACAAUCGGGUACAAGAGACUAAGGCAGCCGAAAAGGUGAAAGGGGACUAACAUCGAGCGGCGCCCAGCGAGCUCGACAGGGCGGCCCUACACCACGCAACUGCUACUCGGCCUCCCAGUCCGUCUCCGUACUUCCGCUUUCGGUUGCGCCUCCUUUACC